rnacentral:lncRNA from 1 species
UAUUAAUAAAUAAGCUUUGCUUCAUUUCAACAUAUUGUGUUAAAUACACCAAAGCCUUCUUCAUAAAGUUAUUUGAAUUUUUGCUUUUGUUGAAACCUGUAUUGUUGAAGCUUUGUGAGUGAAGCAUGUAGUUUGAAGUAGUGUUCCCUUAAUUUCCCGAGUGAGGAAAACUUCUCGGUUGGAGACUUGAAAAAUCCAAGUCACUGAG